UACGGAGGGGGCUAGCGUUGUUCGGAAUCACUGGGCGUAAAGUGCACGUAGGCGGCUUUGCAAGUCAGAGGUGAAAGCCCGGGGCUCAACCCCGGAAUAGCCUUUGAGACUGCAUGGCUUGAACGUCGGAGAGGUGAGUGGAAUUCCGAGUGUAGAGGUGAAAUUCGUAGAUAUUCGGAAGAACACCAGUGGCGAAGGCGGCUCACUGGACGACUGUUGACGCUGAGGUGCGAAAGCGUGGGGAGCAAACAGG
rnacentral:rRNA from 1 species